AUGGGGAACUUCCUCGCGCGCUUCGGCGAAGAUGAGACUCCCGGCAGGCUCCCAAAAGAUGAGACACCAGCAGCCGGGCAGCCGCCGGGCCGGCAGGGCACCGGCCUGGUCGGUCAGCUCCACGUCUUCGACGGACCGCCGCCCCGCGUCGAUGGCGGUUGGCCUACCCUGGCCAACACCGGCAGCGCUGCAGGUGCUGCCUUUGCGCCCGGUCGCAUCACCCCCUCAGGCUCAGGCUCAGGCUCAGGCUCAGGCUCACGCUCACGCUUCCCUUCUUCCUCUGCCAUUGCGCCCGGUCGCAUCACCGCCUCAGGCUCCGGCUCCGCCGCCACACGCUCUCACUCUGCCUCCACCUCCGCCUCCACGGAAUUUCUUACAGUUGAGGAAAGGAAAUUGAAGGAUGUGGUGGAUUUCUGGUCUAGGAUGAAGAAAGGCAAGCAUAAGUUGGACACUUGGGAUCUUACCUAUCUGGAAUACAAAAUCUUCUCUUGGUCUCUAGAGGAUGUCCUCAACAAGGACCUGCUCAAGGAAAAGGUGAAGAAAAUACCCAAGACAUUCUCGUCGCUGGAGCAUUACUUGGAUUCGUUUGCUGACCCAUUGGUCGAGGAAGUACACGCGGACUUCCUCUCUUCGUUCGAGGGCUACCACCAAGCACCAUUCGUUCAGGUAACCAGGGUUCAGAAGCUCGACCAUGGCGAGAAGUCCCAGGCCUUCUUCUUCUGUUUCCUGGCUGCCCGGAGAACAUCGUACGCUCCCGUCAAGGACGACAUCGUCGCCGUCUCCUCCUCGAGGAAGGGCAAGCACCCGUUAUCCUACGUCCUGGGUUCGGUUUGCAAGAGCUGGGAAGACGACGAGGAUUUCCCUGCUGACUGCUUCAUCGUCAGGCUGUCGACGGCUGUUCCGCCCGUGGAUGUCGACGCUGGAACGAAUAGGCCCAUGGCGCCACUGUUCGUCUCCUUCCUCAUGAACACCAAGACGUACAAUCGCAUCUGGACGUGCCUUCAGCUGGGGAAGACGAGCGGUCGGAAGAGAGUGAGCGAUGCCGGUCUCGUGGAUGCCGUCUGGAGAUACAGCGCCUCAAAGGCAGUGGAAAAUGACUCCCGGUCCCAGUUAUCUCACCGGUCCCGUGCCACCGACGACCUUGGGCUCGACAGGUUCAGGCUUAACGAGUCGCAGCUGAAUGCAGUAGAGGACUCCGUUGCAGCAAUGGGGAGCCCUUCUCCUUCCCUGAAGCUGAUAUGGGGGCCUCCGGGGACUGGCAAAACCAAGACCAUCAGCACCAUACUCUGGGCGAUGCUGCUCAGGGGGCACCGGACGCUUACUUGUGCUCCGACCAACACCGCGGUGCUGGAGGUCGCGUCUCGAGUAGUCCAGCUUGUCCGGGAGUUCUCAAAUGGCGGCAGCGGCGGCUGCUUCCUGAGUGACAUCGUUCUGCUGGGAAACAAUGAGAAGAUGAAGGUAGAGGCCAGCCAUGAGCUCUCUGCGGUGUUCCUUGACUGUCGCGUCGAGCGGCUUUCCCAAUGCUUCUCGCCAAAUGGAGGCUGGGGGCACUGCUUGCGUUCGCUGACGGAUUUUCUUGCGGAGCCUGUGAGCAAAUACCAGCUGUACACCGAUAAAAUUACCAAGGACCGUGAGGAGGAGGAGAAGAAGAGGAACAUUUCAUCAAAUGUGCUAGAUAAGAAGAACAAAAAUGUUGCAAGAUGCAAUAAAGGGAAUGAUCAUGAAAAGGAUAGAUGCAAUAACCAAGGAGACGAGCAAGUGUUUGUUACCCUGUCAUUCAAGGAUUUUGUGAGAGCCACUCACAAGGAACUCGCUCACAACUUGUGCCACUGCAUCGAGGCAUUGCAGAAUGAUUUCCCAAGGGACCCUACGACGGCGCCGAAUUUCUGGUGCAUGUCCGAUGUGGUAGAAGUAACAAGAGUUCUCGGUGCGUUGCUAGACGCCGGUGCCGGCGACAGACACGAGGCAUGGGUGAGCGAUGUCGGCGAUGCCUGCAGCCCGUGCUCUGUGAGCAACGAUCCUCCAUGCAAGGAAUGCAGAUUCAGGAAAGCAAGGUCACUCUGUCUCGAACAACUGGAGUAUCUGCGCAACAAUCUGAAGCUCCCCGGCUACUGCGACAAGCGACCGAUUGAAAUCUACCUGCUCCAGAGAGCCAAGAGUAUCCUGUGCACUGUUUCCACUUCUUUCAGGCUGUAUAACGUACUGCCCACGGACAAUCAGAAACCUGUUGGCGGGCAAGGACAACGGCAACACAAAGAGCCCGAGAUCUUCCCCCCUCUGGAGUUGUUGGUCGUCGACGAAGCCGCACAGCUCAAGGAGUGUGAGGCCAUGAUCCCGCUGCAGCUGCCUUGUAUAAGGCACGCUGUUUUCAUCGGGGACGAGCGCCAGCUACCUGCUCUCGUCAAGAGCAAAAUAUCCGAGAACGCCGAUUUUGGAAGAAGCAUCUUCGAGAGGCUGAUCUCGCUAGGCUGCCGCAAGCACCUCCUGGACACCCAGUACAGGAUGCAUCCGGAGAUAAGCAGGUUCCCUGUGUGGAGGUUUUAUGACGGCAAGGUAGGUGACGGGGCCAACGUCGUCUCCAAGAGCCACCGGCGCCGGCUCUUGAGAGGCAACAUGUUUGGGCCGUACUCAUUCAUCAACGUGCAUGGGGGGCGCGAGAGCAGCGAGGAGCAUAGCCGGAGCCCCAAAAACACCAUCGAGAUCGCCGUCGUCUCGCUGAUAGUCGAGAGACUGUUCCGAGAGUCGGCUUCUUCGGGAACAAGGCUAUCCGUUGGCAUCCUGUCGCCGUACAACGCUCAGGUGAGGGCGUUCCAGGAGAAGCUGGAGAAACCAUACGGAAGCCGCGAUGGUUUCUCUCUCAAGAUAAAGUCCGUGGACGGGUUCCAGGGCGGGGAGGAAGAUGUCAUCAUCAUAUCCACGGUGAGGAGCAACGAGGAUGGCGCGGUCGGGUUCCUCAGGGACGCGAAGCGUACCAACGUGGCUCUCACAAGGGCCAAGCAUUGCUUGUGGGUGAUUGGCAACGCGGCGACUCUGUCCAAGAACAGGUCCGUCUGGCAGGACAUUGUGUACGACGCUCGGAGGCGACAGCGCUUUUUCCAUGCCGACAGGGACAAGGGUCUGUCGGACGCAAUGCAGGCGGCAGCUGUUGAGCUCGAUGCCGCUGAUAAUCUGCGCAAGAUGGGGUCCUUGCAGUGCGCGGCAUGA
rnacentral:rRNA from 1 species